UACGUACGUACGAACGUAUUCAAAGAACGAUGGUAACCGCCAUACGGGGAAAACAUUUUCAACAAACAGACGGGCUGGGCUGGGCUGGGUGAGGUUCCUCGCGAUGCAAGUUAAGAAUUACUAAACUCUGAUUUUAAGGGUAACAUGCGGCUUUCUGGUCAAUAACAUUACAACCGAGACGGUCCGGAAAUCACUGAUAUCUAAGCCUCUUGGUUUUUUACGGGGAAAAACAUGGACCAUUUGGACCACAGUAUAAUAAUUUGCGUCCCUUUUUAAAGGGUUCCACAUUUUUUGAGGUUUCAAAAUUCCAGAUUCAAUGUUCACUUCAUGGAGUCAGCCGCCAAAGAAACGACCAUGAAACGAAAAUCAUUGAUUUCCAAGCCUCUGGGAUUUUCGGUGGUAAAAAAAAAUAAACAAUUUGGACCAAAGUAUGUAAUAUGCAUCCUGUUUUAGAAGGUUUCGCAGUUCCAGAUUCAAUGUAUCAUUCGUAGAGUCAUCCGCCAAAGAAACGACCAUGAACCGAAAAUUAUUGAUUUCUAAGCCUCUCGGAUUUUCGGCGGUGAAAAGCGUGGACCAUUUGGACCACGGUGUAAUAAUUUGCGUCUCUCUUUGAAAGGUUUAAAAUUUUUGAGGUUUCACAAUUUUAGAUUUAACGUAUCAUUCAUGGAGUCAGCCGCCAAAGAAACGAACAUGAACUACGGAGGAAUUCCGGAUGUUAGCAGGGUGAUGUACGUUUUCGGAGAAUGGGAUCCAUAGAGGACGAUUAGUAUCAAAGAACCCCCUAAAGGAAGUGUCGCAAUCUACAUCAAAGGAGUAGGCCACCGUUCGGAUAUUUUUCCAACUUCCGUGUAUGAUCUGACGCAAGUAAAAAAAGCACACGAUAAAAUGUCACGUGUUCUACAAAAGUGGACAACUGGAAAGGAACAGCGGCCCGAGGAGCGGUCAAUUUUCCACUUCUAAGAAACUUCCAAUGGACCACUAGACAAGGAGUAGGCUACCGUUCGGAUAUUUUUCCAACUUCCGUGUAUUCUCUGACGCAAGUAAAAAAAGCGCACGACAAAAUGUCACGCGUUCUACAAAAGUGGACAACUGGAAAAGAACAGCGGCGAGAGGAGAAGUCGAUUUUUCGAUUUUUUACUUCUAGGAAACAACCAAUUUCAGGGCGAAAAUCGAACAUCUUAAGGGAUUGAGUAUGAAAUACUCAAAAAGGGGGGGGGUUGUAUCACAUUUUGUCCGUAAAAAUAAAACGAGCUCAUGAUCUUGAAGCUGAAGUAACCAACUAAAACAUGCAAGAGUUGGGAAGUCUCCCCGCUGAAAACCAACGACUAAUUAGAUGCCUAUUUUUCAGCCGAAAAAAAGGGGAUUAUUUUAAUACUUGUUUAUUUUUCUCAAUUAUGCAGCUCAACCUUUUACAGGUCAGAGUGGUAGAGAGUAAGUUUGUUCGAGCGCAUCUAACGGAAUUUUGUGAGAAACCGACGACACUUCAUGAACCAAAACUGCUCAUAGAAAGUCCGUGCUAAUCUUUGAAAGAAAAAACUUUUUUGUAAAUGC